rnacentral:rRNA from 1 species
GACGAACCGUGCGAACGUUGUUCGGAUUCACUGGGCUUAAGGGCGCGUAGGCGGGCACGUCCGUCGGGAGUGAAAUCCCCCGGCCCAACCGGGGAACAGCUCCCGAGACCGCGUGCCUCGAGGGGGGUAGGGGUCGACGGAACUUCCGGUGGAGCGGUGAAAUGCGUAGAUAUCGGAAGGAACGCCGGUGGCGAAAGCGGUCGACUGGACCCCUUCUGACGCUGAGGCGCGAAAGCCAGGGGAGCAAACGGGAUUAGAAACCCCCGUAGUCC